rnacentral:rRNA from 1 species
GACGAACGCUGGCGGCGUGCUUAACACAUGCAAGUCGAACGGAAAGGCCCUGCUUGCAGGGUACUCGAGUGGCGAACGGGUGAGUAACACGUGGGUGAUCUGCCCUGCACUUCGGGAUAAGCCUGGGAAACUGGGUCUAAUACCGGAUAGGAGCCAUUUUUAGUGUGAUGGUUGGAAAGUUUUUUCGGUGUAGGAUGAGCUCGCGGCCUAUCAGCUUGUUGGUGGGGUAAUGGCCUACCAAGGCGGCGACGGGUAGCCGGCCUGGGAGGGUGGACGGCCACAUUGAGACUGGGAUACGGCCCAGACCCCUACGGGAGGCAGCAGUGGGGGAUAUUGAAAAAUGGGCGCAAGCCUGAGGCAGCGCCGCCGCGUGGGGGAUGACGGCCUUCGGGUUGUAAUCUCCUUUCGCUAGGGACGAAGCUUUUUGUGACGGUACCUAGAUAAGAAGCACCGGCUAACUACGUG